rnacentral:rRNA from 1 species
ACUCCUACGGGAGGCACAGUGGGGGAAUAUUGCACAAUGGGGGGAAACCCUGAUGCAGCCAUGCCGCGUGUGUGAAGAAGGCCUUCGGGUUGUAAAGCACUUUCAGUAGGGAGGAAGGUAGUGUAGUUAACACCUGCAUUAUUUGAUGUUACCUACAGAAGAAGCACCGGCUAACUCCGUGCCAGCAGCCGCGGUAAUACGGAGGGUGCGAGCGUUAAUCGGAAUUACUGGGCGUAAAGCGCAUGCAGGCGGCCUGUUAAGUCAGAUGUGAAAGCCCGGGG